rnacentral:rRNA from 1 species
UACGUAGGGUGCGAGCGUUAAUCGGAAUUACUGGGCGUAAAGCGUGCGCAGGCGGUUUUGUAAGCCAGAUGUGAAAGCCCCGGGCUUAACCUGGGAAUGGCAUUUGGGACUGCAAGGCUUGAGUGCGGCAGAGGAGACUGGAAUUCCUGGUGUAGCAGUGAAAUGCGUAGAUAUCAGGAGGAAUACCGAUGGCGAAGGCAGGUCUCUGGGCUGACACGUGACGCUCAUGCACGAAAGCGUGGGGAGCGAAA